UACAGAGGAUGCGAGCGUUACUCGGAAUUACUGGGCGUAAAGCGCGCGUAGGCGGUUUGUUAAGUCAGCUGUGAAAGCCCCGGGCUCAACCUGGGAACUGCAGUUGAUACUGGCCGACUGGAGUGCGAGAGAGGGAGGUAGAAUUCCAUGUGUAGCGGUGAAAUGCGUAGAUAUAUGGAGGAAUACCGGUGGCGAAGGCGGCCUCCUGGCUCGACACUGACGCUGAGGUGCGAAGGCGUGGGGAUCAAACAGG
rnacentral:rRNA from 1 species